AAAAAAAAAAAAAAAGAAAAGGAAAAAAAAAGCAGCAAGGAUAUUUUCUGGAAUAAAAUGAGAAUUACUUUUAAAUAGUAAUUGGUUUAUCCCUACUGAGGUAACAAGUCCACACACAUUAUUAUCUACCAGUAGUAAUAACUGGACUUUAAUUCAGCGGAAUGGUCAACUACAGAAAAGUCAGGUCUUUGAUCAUCAGAGUACACAAUUAUAUUUAGUGAAUCCAAUCUGAAAUUAUUAUGAGGUAUCCUUUUGUAUAUCUAAUGUUCACUGGUUUUAUUGUUGUGCUAUAAAAAUAUCUUUCCUGGAUGCAGAACCCAGACACUCAAAAUCUUACUUCAAGGACUAAGUUAAGGUUCAGACACAGCUUCAAUUUCGUAAGCUAACAAUCAAAACUCACUGUGGUCAAAACCUUUCAAAUGUAUACACUGGUGUCAAUCAACAAUUCAUUUACAGACAUCAACAGUUAAUGAUUAUAAUACAUAUAUUGUAGUAGACUUUUAAUUACUAGGGCACUUAACAAGUAUGUUCUAAAAUCAACUAAGAGUGGCAAUUACUAAGUGAUCUUUUGUUAAUAUCUAAAAUCUGUCAUCAAUCACCCAGUCACAGAGAUUCAAGCACAAUACCCACCACCAUCUAUGCCAAAACUUUUUGACCAUUUCUCAUCAUCUGGGGAUGUUGCCACACACCACUAUGACGUUUCCUUGCAAUUCCUUACCCAUCUAUUCUUUAUCAUUUCUGCAGGAAAUAACAAUCCAGCCUUUCUGGACUACAGUCAAAUUUACCAUCCUGUUCAAUUUUUGCUAUUUCUUGCUGUAAUCCAAGAAAAUGUAAAACAAAUUGAUACUCUAUCUUAAUGGUAAAUAAAAUUGUCCAUGAAGAGUGCGUAAGUGGAAUCUUGAGAUUAAAAGAAAGAAUUCACUAAUUUAACACUAUUUUACCGUUUGUUCAAUUGGGCUUUACUGAGUAAACUACUUCAGCUGAAUCAAAAUUCAGUGACUCUGGAACCUUUGAAGACAUAACUUCCAUGAUAAACCAUUUGGUACCUGCCGAGAACCUUGGAAUGCUUUUGGGAUCCUCUGCAAUUAUGAAGAUUCUACCUUAUUAGAAGAUGGGGAGUUAGAGACAUUCAUCAACUGACUAAUGCCAUUCAUUGGCUGAAAUUAGCCCCUAGGAGCAGGUUCUCCCACUGCCACAAUUCUGGACCCACAUAUGCACAGAUUUCCCAGCGUAGUGCUCAGUUGGAAAGAAGCACAUCACACAGAGCAAUAAUGAGUGAGGAGGUGGGCUGGCUUCUCACCCAAUUCUCCAACAUGUGCUUACCAAGGCUUUGAGACAACUUCUUACCUGGUCUUCCUAUUCAUAAAAUAAAAUUUAUUCUUACUUAACAUACUGAAAUGAAGCAUAGGAAAAAUCUAGAAGUACCUAAUGAAACAGUACAUUUUAACAUGACCAUGCUUCUGGGCUAUAGAUCAUGACUAACAUAAAUGAGAGAUACUGUGGCAUGCCCUCUACACCUGGCAUCACAUCCUAGAAGGUAAGAAUGAUUAUGAUGCCUCUCCCAUACAUGAGAACACAGAGGCUCAGAGACGUUAAAUAACUUAUCCAGAAUCUACAGCUCGUGAACAGAAGUUGAUCUUGGUACUAUCAGUGUGGACUUUGGUAGCUAAGUUGUAUUACUCAAAAUGUGUUGAUAAUCCAAAAAUAUAAAUAGGAAGAUGAGUAGGAAAAACUGUAAGCGUAUAUGAUGUUCUAAGGCUUGGAAAUGGGACAGCCAAAACCCAAGCACAGGAAUUUUCUAUCUUCUAUGUCAGAGAUUCUUACAGUACCUACUUUGUUAUUAAAAAUAUUAUGACAAACCCACAGCCAAUGUCAAACUGAAUGAGCAAAAACUGGAAGCAUUCCCUUUGAAAUCCGGCAUUAGGCAAGGGU